UACGAUCAGUUUCGUGUCAAC
rnacentral:piRNA from 1 species